rnacentral:tRNA from 1 species
GAAGCCUUAGCUUAAUUAAAGUGUCUGAGUUGCAGUCAGGUGAUGUAGAUCAAAGUGCUACAGGUUUU